AGUCUUAAACUUGAUCUCGAGGGGCCUACUUUCCAUUGAGAGAGAGAGAAAAUAAAUAAGUAAACAAAUGAACAUGCACAGAAAAAGAAUGUCAAAUAGCUCUAAGGUCUAUGAAGACAAGCAGACAGAUAAUGUGAUGGCAGAAAGACAGAUGGAAGUAAUAGGCUAUUUAAAUUGAAUAGUAAAGGAAGGGCUUUUCUGAAGACAGGCUAUUGAGCUCAGGCUUAACUGCCAAGAAGCCAACUCCAAAAAGCUCCAGUAGAACAUUCCAAGCAAAGGGAACCACAAGAGCAUAGGCCCUAAAGCAGAAACAAGCUUUAACUAUUGAGGAAUAGAAAGAAUACAAUGUGAAUAGGGUGUGAAGCAAGGGAGAAGGUGGUAGGGAAUCGAGACUGGACAGACAGAGGCAACAAAACCAUUGAGGACCUUGUACGUGUUGGAUUACCAAACAACUGAAACAGGAAAUUUUCUCCGACCUCUUCAAGGGUGGGAACUGGAAUGCGGACACUGGAGCUGGCUGGCCACUUUGGCUGGCUUCACUCACUCAUAUCUGCUGUGCUCUACCCAUCACAGGCGGAGGGGCACAGCUGAGUGGGUGCAGAAGCUGGGGCAAGUGCUUCUGGGUGCCAGCAGGAGCUCUGUGCGGGCCCUGCAGCAGUGUCUAGAGGGGCAUACCCAAGACCCCCAAAGCCCCAGAAGUAGUGUUACAGGCAGCGCUUUUUUAGCUUUGCCAUCUGCAGACAGCUUAAGUGUUUAACAGUUCAGUAAACCCUCUGUCUUUUUGCAAGGACAGAGGGUCAGUGUGAUGGCCUCUGUAUCCUGAGCUCUUAUCCAGCAUCCAGGAAAAAUCAGGUCACACGAACAAAUAGAAGGAUAGUAAAUGUGGGGGACUUUAUUGCUGAUGGAAGUGGCUCUGAGUGGGAAGGGGAGCUGAAAAGGGGAUGGAGCAGGAAGGUAUUCUUCCCCGGAAGUCUGGCCAUCUCCAGCUGGACUCUUCUACAAAGUCCUGCCAUCAAGCUGUCCCUCUGAAGUUAAGCUGCUUCUCUCUGACAUUCAGCUCCUUCUUCUCUUCUCCCCUUCUGAUAUGGUUUGGCUCUGUGUCCCCACCCAAAUCUCAUCUUGUAGCUCCCAUAAUUCCCACAUGUUGUGGGAGGGACCCAGUGAGAGAUAAUUGAAUUAUGGGGGCAGGUCUUUCUGUGCUGUUCUUGUGACAGUGAAUAAGUCUCACAAGAUCUGAUGAUUUUAAAAAUGGAAGUUUCCCUGCACAAGCUCUCUCUCUCUCUUUACCCACUGCCAUCCAUGUAAGAUAUGACUUGCUCCUCCUUGCCUUCUGCCAUGAUUGUGAGGCCUCGCCAGCCACAGACAACUGUAAGUCCAUUAAACUUCUUUCUUUCGUAAA